AGAGUUUGAUCCUGGCUCAGGAUGAACGCUAGCUACAGGCUUAACACAUGCAAGUCGAGGGGCAGCGGGAUUGAAGCUUGCUUCAAUUGCCGGCGACCGGCGCACGGGUGAGUAACGCGUAUCCAACCUUCCGCUUACUCGGGGAUAGCCUUUCGAAAGAAAGAUUAAUACCCGAUUGUAUCUUAAGCACGCAUGAGAUUAAGAUUAAAGAUUUAUCGGUAAGCGAUGGGGAUGCGUUCCAUUAGGCAGUUGGCGGGGUAACGGCCCACCAAACCUACGAUGGAUAGGGGUUCUGAGAGGAAGGUCCCCCACAUUGGAACUGAGACACGGUCCAAACUCCUACGGGAGGCAGCAGUGAGGAAUAUUGGUCAAUGGGCGAGAGCCUGAACCAGCCAAGUAGCGUGAAGGAUGACGGCCCUACGGGUUGUAAACUUCUUUUGUGCGGGAAUAAAGGAGCCUACGUGUAGGUUUUUGCAUGUACCGUAACGAAUAAGCAUCGGCUAACUCCGUGCCAGCAGCCGCGGUAAUACGGAGGAUGCGAGCGUUAUCCGGAUUUAUUGGGUUUAAAGGGAGCGUAGACGGGUUUUUAAGUCAGCUGUGAAAGUUUGGGGCUCAACCUUAAAAUUGCAGUUGAAACUGGAGACCUUGAGUACGGUUGAGGCAGGCGGAAUUCGUGGUGUAGCGGUGAAAUGCUUAGAUAUCACGAAGAACCCCGAUUGCGAAGGCAGCCUGCUAAGCCGCCACUGACGUUGAGGCUCGAAAGUGCGGGUAUCAAACAGGAUUAGAUACCCUGGUAGUCCGCACGGUAAACGAUGGAUGCCCGCUGUUGGUCUGAAUAGGUCAGCGGCCAAGCGAAAGCAUUAAGCAUCCCACCUGGGGAGUACGCCGGCAACGGUGAAACUCAAAGGAAUUGACGGGGGCCCG
rnacentral:rRNA from 1 species